AGAGUUUGAUCAUGGCUCAGGACGAACGCUGGCGGCGUGCCUAACACAUGCAAGUCGAGCGAGGAACUUCGGUUCCUAGCGGCGGACGGGUGAGUAACACGCGGGUAACCUGCCUCAAAGAGGGGGAUAGCCUCCCGAAAGGGAGAUUAAUACCGCAUAACAUUAAAUUACCGCAUGGUAGUUUAAUUAAAGGAGUAAUCCGCUUUGAGAUGGACCCGCGGCGCAUUAGCUAGUUGGUGAGGUAACGGCUCACCAAGGCCACGAUGCGUAGCCGACCUGAGAGGGUGAUCGGCCACAUUGGAACUGAGAUACGGUCCAGACUCCUACGGGAGGCAGCAGUGGGGAAUAUUGCACAAUGGGCGGAAGCCUGAUGCAGCAACGCCGCGUGAGUGAUGAAGGCCUUCGGGUUGUAAAGCUCUGUCUUUGGGGACGAUUAUGACGGUACCCAAGGAGGAAGCCACGGCUAACUACGUGCCAGCAGCCGCGGUAAUACGUAGGUGGCAAGCGUUGUCCGGAUUUACUGGGCGUAAAGGAUGCGUAGGCGGAUAUUUAAGUCAGAUGUGAAAUACCCGAGCUUAACUUGGGUGCUGCAUUUGAAACUGGAUAUCUAGAGUGUGGGAGAGGAAAGUGGAAUUCCUAGUGUAGCGGUGAAAUGCGUAGAGAUUAGGAAGAACACCAGUGGCGAAGGCGACUUUCUGGACCAUAACUGACGCUGAGGCAUGAAAGCGUGGGGAGCAAACAGGAUUAGAUACCCUGGUAGUCCACGCCGUAAACGAUGGGUACUAGGUGUAGGGGGUAUCGACUCCCUCUGUGCCGCAGUUAACACAAUAAGUACCCCGCCUGGGGAGUACGGUCGCAAGAUUAAAACUCAAAGGAAUUGAC
rnacentral:rRNA from 1 species